AGAUCUAUCUGGCUAGGAGAAACUAUGGUCAAGAAGGUGGUUUUCCUGAAGCGGGGCUCAUCCAUUGUGCUCCAGAUAUGCUGACUGUAAUCUCUCCAAAUGUGUCAAAAUCAACUGUGGGAUUUGGGGGAAUGCAUUUGUGUCCUCCCUC
ensembl:snRNA Gm26150 predicted gene, 26150